rnacentral:rRNA from 1 species
GUCCCAGCUGUAAACGAUGCAGACUCGAUGAUGCAUUGGCAUAAUAGCCAGUGCAGUGUCGCAGGGAAGCCGUUAAGUCUGCCGCCUGGGAAGUACGUACGCAAGUAUGAAACUUAAAGGAAUUGGCGGGGGAGCACCACAAGGGGUGAAGCCUGCGGUUCAAUUGGAGUCAACGCCAGAAAUCUUACCCGGAGAGACAGCAGAAUGAAGGUCAAGCUGAAGACUUUACCAGACAAGCUGAGAGGUGGUGCAUGGCCGUCGCCAGCUCGUGCCGUGAGAUGUCCUGUUAAGUCAGGUAACGAGCGAGAUCCCUGCCGCUAGUUGCUAUCAUUAUUCUCAGGAAUAGUGGAGCGAAUUAGCGGGACUGCCGUUGUUAAAACGGAGGAAGGAAGGGGCUACGGCAGGUCAGUAUGCCCCGAAACUCUGGGGCCACACGCGGGCUGCAAUGGUAGUGACAAUGAGUUCCAAACUCGAAAGAGAGUGGCAAUCUCUAAACGCUACCACAGUUAUGACUGAGGGCUGUAACUCGCCCUCACGAAUAUGGAAUCCCUAGUAACCGCGUGUCAUUACCGCGCGGUGAAUACG